GUAUUCACCUCAGCAACACAUAUACUAAAAAUUGGAACAAUACAGAGAAGAUUAGCAUGGUCCCUGUACAGGAUGAUGCAAAAAUUCAUGAAGCAUUCCAUAUUAAA
rnacentral:snRNA from 1 species